AAUUAAUCAAGUGACGCAUGCGCAUUGAAUUACUUUAAUGAAAAUUUGUUGAUGUGACGUUUUAGUUUACAAACUAGAUCUACGUCAGUUUCUUACGAAAUGACUCGUGGAAAUCAGCGUGAGAAGUCCCGGGAGAAGGCUGCUAAGAAGCAGAAAGAAGUAGAGAAAAAGAAGUCUUCUUGUGAGAAGGGAGCUAACAAAGGAAUGUCCUUGGAGGAUCGGCGUCAUAGGGAUGCCGAGAUAAUGAGACAGAAACAGUUGGCAAAGCAGGGAGCAGCAGGAGGAGCUCAGGGCGGGGCCAGUAAAUAAUGGACAGCUUGACGCUCAUGAAUAUUCAGAAGUCUUCUAAAAUAUAUUGAAGGAAUUAGUCAAAACUGAUUACAUUGUAAAUACCAUUUAUGCUGUCAGUGAUACUAUUUUACAUAUAUUUUUGAGAAGGAAGUGUUCAGAGAAUUGAAAAUUUGCCAUGUUCAUACAUAUUAAGAUAUAAUUAUGUAACAACUUUUACAUGGGUAAAGUGAUUGUGUUAUUCGUUUGGAUCAAACUGGAUUUGUACUUGUUUGUUCAAAUUAGAGAAAGUACAUUUGAAGGGUAUCAGUGAUAUUAAGUCUUCAGUUUAGUUAGUAUUAAAUGCUCUAAGUUCGGAAUCUUUUAGCUUUUAAUGUCUUGUGUCUGCUCAUUUGUUAAUGUACAAAAAUGUAAACUUUUCUCACCAUUUAUUAAAACAACACAUUUAAAUACCAA
rnacentral:lncRNA from 1 species